CUCGUAGGCGGCCAACUAAGUCAGACGUGAAAUCCCUCGGCUUAACCGGGGAACUGCGUCUGAUACUGGAUGGCUUGAAUCCGGGAGAGGGAUGCGGAAUUCCAGGUGUAGCGGUGAAAUGCGUAGAUAUCUGGAGGAACACCGGUGGCGAAGGCGGCAUCCUGGACCGGCAUCGACGCUGAGGAGCGAAAGCCAGGGGGAGCAAAAC
rnacentral:rRNA from 1 species